UCUUCUUUCUUUCUCCAGCAAAACCUAGCUCUACGUCCCACCACCACCACCACCACCGAUCUCUUCUCUUUCAUUCUCUCUAUACGAAAAGAUUGUUGAAUCUGUAUAUCUGAUCUUUCUCAAGUUGGAUAAGUUUUUCAAUCUCUCGAGGAGUCGUCUUCAUCAAACCUAUGAUAAUGGUAGAGAUGAUGCGCCACCUCAAUCAGAUGUUUAAAUGUGCAAGUUAAUUUCUUAAUCAAUGCCAGAAUUCUUCUUAAGGAUUAGGUUUUCAGAGUACAAGACUUCAUCAUGGUAAUUCAAAGGCACCAAAGAGUAGAAAACCCUAGCUCCCAAAAUCUUCAAAGCCAGCUAAAUAUGGUGGUGGUAAACAAAAGAAGUUCAAUUCAUGAUCCUCAAACUUAAAUAUAUAUACCUGUAUUUACAAUAUAGGUAACGUUAUGUUAAGAUAGGAAGUUGUGGGAAAUCUAAUCCUUUUAUUCUUAUGAAAGGGCUAUGGUAGGAAUGAAUACCUUGAUUUCUUUAGUGUUGCCUUGUUGAUUAAUAUUUCAACUUAGUUUGAAACCUUUUCUUUAUAAUUGUAUACUCUUUUAAUAGUUAAGUUUUGAAAAGGAUGGAGAGUCUAAUUUUUCAAAUAUCUUGUAUUUUGGUCGGCCAAUAGGUUUUGUGCCUGAACAAUAGGAUUCUGAUUACCACCAGUGCAGAUUCAGGUUGGAGGAUCACCAAUUUAUAAAGUUGAUAGGCUACUUGUUUGGUAGGUUAUUAAUCAAAUGUGGAAUGCUUAACCUUGUUGAUCUUGCUGGGUCUGAGAACAUUUCACAUUCUGGUGCAAGAGAGGUACCAUUAUUACUUAAGCCUAUUCAUUUGGUGUUGUGGUUACUUUUUACUUUGAUUGCUUCAUUUCAAGUAAGUACUGUCAUGCUCAUAUAGUUUCUUCCUAUUUACAUAGAAUGUUUUCAGAUCUCAGUGUUCAGUAAUCAUAUCUGUUUCGCAGAAGGAAGAGAAUUGGUUUGAACACCAGCAUGAUAUAAAAAUGCCAUUUGUUCCUGCUUCAGAAAAGAUAUUGAACUUCCACUAUCUUCUUUAAAAUGCCACUUGUUUCUGCUCUUAAUAAACUCAUCUUUGGUGAUUGACAUCCAAUAUUUUGCUGUUUGGAACCUUAUGAAUCUCUAAUUUGCCCUGUUUUUGUGGCCCAGGUUAUAACAGCUGUUCAAAAAAGUGGUGGUUGGUUUGCUUUCAAUUAUGAUGCUGUGGAAGUUGUUCUCUAGUCCUUCAUAACGCGUUCUGAAACGAUCUCUUUACAAUGACAUUAGGAGGUUUUUAAAAUGAGCUUCCAGCAUUAAUAAAAAUUUCUAUGCGUACCCUGCAAAAGCUAUCUUUCCAUACUGUCAAGCACUAGAGAAGUUCGCUCCCUAUAGUUGAUUUCCACUUUUCUCAUGUCAGGUUGGAAGUGGCCCCUCGCUGGAUCUAGAAGCUCGUUUGCUUCGAUUAAUGUAGAUCUUAUCUCACGUGCAAUGGGAUUCAAGACUAUACCUGGAUUUACCUUGCUGCUGGCAGGGCUUAGACUUUGAUUGUCAGCUGCAUCCGAUGCUGCCUGUAAUAAUCUACUCCUUUUGGUGCACUCAGCAUUAUUAUCAAGCACGAAAGAAGUUCAUUCCUCAAGUUGUGUACUCUUUCCUCUUCAGUUUUUGGGUUAAGUGUCAUAUUUUCUUGCAUUGCUGCACUUGCAAAACAUAGAAAUAUCUUAUGGAAAAGAAGUCCUUUUCAUUUCUAGUUUUACACUUUUGUUCAACAGUUUUGUUAAGUACAUUGCUUAGCUAAAUUUGGUUCUAGAACAGAGGUAUCUUGAUCUGUUGGAUUAAUUUGAUUUUUAAAUGAAUGAGAGUAACUUGUUUUUGUUA